AUUGAACGCUGGCGGCAUGCCUAACACAUGCAAGUCGAACGAUUGGCGGACGGGUGAGUAAUGUAUGGGAACUUGCCCAUUGGCGGGGGAUAACUACUGGAAAGGGUGGCUAAUACCGCAUACCAUCGAUUUGACCUAUAUCGGAUUAGCUUGGUGGUGGGGUAAAGGCUCACCAGGGCAACGAUCCCUAGCGGGUUUGAGAGGAUGACCAGCCACACUGGAACGGAGAAACGGUCCAGACUCCUACGGGAGGCAGCAGUGGGGAAUUUUGGACAAUGGGGGAAAGCCUGAUGCAGCCAUCCGGCGUGUAUGAUGAAGGCCUUCGGGUUGUAAAGUACUUUGGGCGGGGAGGCGGUAUCCGCAGAAGAAGCAACGGCUAACUACGUGCCAGCAGCCGCGGUAAUAC
rnacentral:rRNA from 1 species